rnacentral:rRNA from 1 species
UACGGAGGAUGUGAGCGUUAUCCGGAUUUAUUGGGUUUAAAGGGUGCGUAGGCGGACGCUUAAGUCAGCGGUAAAAUUGCGGGGCUCAACCUCGUCGAGCCGUUGAAACUGGGUGCCUUGAGUGGGCGAGAAGUACGCGGAAUGCGUGGUGUAGCGGUGAAAUGCAUAGAUAUCACGCAGAACUCCGAUUGCGAAGGCAGCGUACCGGCGCCCUACUGACGCUGAAGCACGAAGGCGUGGGUAUCGAACAGG